rnacentral:rRNA from 1 species
UGAGUAACCUGCCCUUAACUCUGGGAUAAGCCUGGGAAACUGGGUCUAAUACCGGAUAUGACUCCUCAUCGCAUGGUGGGGGGUGGAAAGCUUUAUUGUGGUUUUGGAUGGACUCGCGGCCUAUCAGCUUGUUGGUGAGGUAAUGGCUCACCAAGGCGACGACGGGUAGCCGGCCUGAGAGGGUGACCGGCCACACUGGGACUGAGACAACGGCCCAGACUCCGUACGGGAGCAG